rnacentral:misc_RNA from 1 species
CUGCCGGCUCGCUGUUUUGUGGAGUCCCAUGGACAGCGCGCCGUCGACGUCCGCCAUGUGCUCGCUGUUUUGCGCAGCCCAUCCGCGACGCCGUCGAAAACUGUGCUAGUGGUCGACGUCGUGCCUUGCCCGUUCGACGAAAUACCGAGCCAUGUGGACAGCCAUGCGUCUAGUCACGACCCGUUCAGGACCGAGAGAUGA